CCCAACUAUCCCUAUUAAUCAUUACGUCAACCCUAGAAACCAACAAAAUAGGAUCAAACGUCCUAUUUUAUUAUUCCAUGCUAAUGUAUUCAAGCGUUAGCCUGCUUUAAACACUCUAAUUUUUUCAAAGUAACAGUCCUGUUUCCCCGCAACACCAAAUUAAUGGCAUCACGGUUCUUCAAGAAGGAGGAAUCAGCGAGGCCAGUGCAUACCAUUGGCACGACCAACCUGCUGACCCCGAAAUUCAACUACGAGCUUUUUAACUGCAACAACUUUAAUAUACGCUAUUGGAGCUGGAAUUACCGCGGCUGCUGGCACCAGACUUGCCCUCCAA
rnacentral:misc_RNA from 2 species